rnacentral:sRNA from 1 species
UUUCAAAAAGGGUAAUCAUGUUUAAAAUAUGAAUGAUAAAGGGGAGUUGGCCGUGGGAACAAUUAUUUGUCAGGGAUGCAACUGUACGAUUGAUCAUUUUGAAGAUGAAAAGGUUACAACGUUAUACGGACGAUGUCAGGGAUGCGAAGAAGGAAUCGAAAUUCCAGAAUAAUAGAAUAAAAGCAGCGACCUGUCAUGAGGUCGCUGCUUUUUGU